rnacentral:tRNA from 1 species
GGCAGCGGGGCUCAGUGGAAAGAGCACAGGCUUGGGCGUCAGAGGCUGUGGGUUCUAAUCCCGGCUCUGCCG